AGGAUGAACGCUGGCGGCGUGCCUAAUACAUGCAAGUCGAGCGGUAAGGCCCCUUCGGGGUACACGAGCGGCGGACGGCUGAGUAACACGUAGGAACGUACCCCAAAGUGAGGGAUAAGCACCAGAAAUGGUGUCUAAUACCGCAUGUGCUCUUCGGAGGAAAGCUUCGGCGCUUUGGGAACGGCCUGCGCAUGAUUAGCUUGUUGGUGAGGUAAUGGCUCACCAAGGCGACGAUCAUUAGCUGGUCUGAGAGGAUGAUCAGCCACACUGGGAUUGAGAACGGCCCAGACUCCUACGGGGGCAGCAGUGAGGAAUUUUCGUCAAUGGGGGCAACCCUGAACGAGCAACGCCGCGUGCAGGAAGACACUUUUCGGAGCGUAAACUGCUUUUCUCGGGGACGAGUAAGGACGGUACCCGAGGAAUCAGCCCCGGCUAACUACGUGCCAGCAGCCGC
rnacentral:rRNA from 1 species